rnacentral:lncRNA from 10 species
ACUGCCAGGACACACGACUCCAGGGAGCUGGCUGGAGAGGGGCAGGCCUGUGUGCUCCACAAACCCAGAGGGCUCUGACUCACACAGAUGAGGAAAUCCAAGCUCAGAAUGGAUAAUUCACCUAAGGAAAUACAGAUGGAAAAUGGCAGAGCUGCAAUCUAAACCCAGGUCCAUCUGAUAAUAAAGCCCAGGCUCUCCUCAACCAACUUCAGAUCUAGGAUGCUUCCAGUGAGACUCCGUGCUCCCUCCCUGUGUGGUUCCCAUGGCCUUUCUUUACCUCAAGAAAAUGCAGAGUGAAAAGCAAUGGUAGCAGAAGUUUCUAGAAGUUACUUAUAUGGCAAGUGCAAGUAUUUCAGAACACAUUUGAGAUUCAGGAAGGAGGCAAAAAGGCUUCUGCUGAGCAGUCAAAAUGACGAAGUUUGUAAACUUCACUUUAUUUGGGUCCCUGCUGAAAGUCUACCUACUCUUUAAAAACAAUAACAACAACAAAAAAUGGGAACACACUAUUAACGCUGUUCUGCACAUGUAUUUUUCAAUUAACAAUUGGUGAGUAUUCCCUUUUAGCGCACAUAGAUCUACCUCAUUCAUUUAAGGGCUCUGUAGUGCUGCAUUGUGUGAAUGCACCAAAUGUGUAUUUAUCCUGCAUUCUCUAGGUGGACAUUUUAGACACUUACAAGGGUUGGGGCUCAGAAAGUGAUAUCCCAAAGGCUGAUGUUUUGACAUGCUGAGGGCCCUCAGAAGCCGCCCCCGAACCAAGGUCCCUCUAACUUCUUGUUCCCCAUACCUGCCCCACCACCAAACACAGGGAGGGACUGUCUGUCUUUGGAAAUUUCCUCAUCUGACCAAGAAAGCAUCUUUCCAAAAGAAAUGCAAUUGUCUUAAACACCCUCCCUAGAGGUCUCAUCAAAUAACCAAGAAAGAUAAACCACCAGAAGAGAUGAGACUGGGAAUCAUCACCACACCCAGACAGACUUCAUCUAUUCUUCUGAGAGCAGCUCCAAGAGAUUGCCUGGAGGACUUUAUCUGCUUAAUAAGACAAGCUUUGUUCCUGUACAGCUCCGCCCCUCACCUUCCUGUAAUAUCUGCCUCCCACCUCCCCAGUCCAUACAUCUCCUCCCUCCUGUAUGAAAAAGGGUAUACAAGCUUCUGUGCCCCAUUGGGUUAUUGGGAAAUCAUUCUCCUGUGAUUCCCCUGUGCCAUGCACACUAAAAUAAAAUUUUGUAUGCCUUUUCUCCUAUCGAUCUGCCUUUGG